UUCAGGCUUCCGGAAGCAUCUGUCAGCUCAGCUACCUGGGACUCUCUCGUCCUCUCUGCACUCUGGACACUGGCUGCCGCCUCCAUGAAAACUCAUUACUUUCUCCUGAUGAUAUUUUUUCUCUUCUCCCAGAUGGAGCCAGGUGCCGGUAUUCUCACAAGUCUUGGGCGCAGAACCGAUCAAUACCGAUGUCUCCAGCAUGGAGGAUUCUGUCUCCGCUCCAGUUGCCCUUCCCAUACCAGGCUACAGGGAACCUGUAAACCAGAUAAGCCCAACUGCUGCAGGAGCUGACAAUGAUUUGAAGAAUGAACAUAAAAGACAAGCGAGGGAUAUGCAGUCAGUGUUUUAAUAAAGGAAAUAUUUUCAAAGCCUA